rnacentral:rRNA from 1 species
UCAGGAUGAACGCUAGCGGCAGGCUUAACACAUGCAAGUCGAGGGGCAUCGGGAGUAGCAAUACUGCCGGCGACCGGCGCAAGGGUGCGUAACGCGUGAGCAACAUGCCCGUAUCAGGGGGGAUAAUCCAUGGAAACGUGGUCUAAUACCCCAUAGUAAUUAUGUAAGGCAUCUUAUAUAAUUUAAAGCUUUGGUGGAUACGGAUUGGCUCGCGUGACAUUAGCUGGAUGGUAAGGUAACGGCUUACCAUGGCUACGAUGUCUAGGGGUUCUGAGAGGAAGGUCCCCCACACUGGAACUGAGACACGGUCCAGACUCCUACGGGAGGCAGCAGUGAGGAAUAUUGGACAAUGGAUGGAAAUCUGAUCCAGCCAUGCCGCGUGCAAGGAAGACGGCCCUAUGGGUUGUAAACUGCUUUUGUAUGGGAGCAAUAAGGGCUACGUGUAGUCCGAUGAGAGUACCAUACGAAUAAGCACCGGCUAACUCCGUGCCAGCCGCAGC